rnacentral:rRNA from 1 species
CAAUAGCGUAUAUUAAAGUUGUUGCAGUUAAAAAGCUCGUAGUUGGACCUUGGACCUGGACAGGCGGUCCGCCUCACGGCGAGUACUGUCUUGCUGGGUCUUUCCUCUUGGUGAUCUGUUGUUUCGGCAGCAGGGAACCAGGACCUUUACUUUGAAAAAAUUAGAGUGUUCAAAGCAGGCUCGACGCCGGAAUAUAUUAGCAUGGAAUAAUAAAAUAGGUCGUGCGGUUCUAUUUUGUUGGUUUUUGGAAUCGCCGUAAUGAUUAAUAGGGACAGUCGGGGGCAUUAGUACUCACAUGCUAGAGGUGAAAUUCUUGGAUUUUGUGAAGACUAACUUCUGCGAAAGCAUUUGCCAAGGAUGUUUUCAUUAA